rnacentral:tRNA from 1 species
ACGAACCACGGUGUCGGGGGUUCGAAUCCCUCCUCGCCCACAACCUUCCCCUUUUGGAAGGACCUAUCCCUCCG